rnacentral:ribozyme from 13 species
GCAUUUAAAACAAAAAGAAAAGAAAGAAAAAGAAUAAAAAAACAAAUUCCAAAUCCCCUCAUCUUUUUUCUCUUUUCUUUUUUCUUUUCUCUUUUCUCUUU